UUGACCUCGGAUCAGGUAGGGAUACCCGCUGAACUUAAGCAUAUCAAUAAGCGGAGGAAAAGAAACCAACCGGGAUUGCCCCAGUAACGGCGAGUGAAGCGGCAAGAGCUCAAAUUUGAAAUCUGGCCCCUCCGGGGUCCGAGUUGUAAUUUGCAGAGGAUGCUUCGGGUACGGCCCCUGUCUAAGUGCCCUGGAACGGGCCGUCAGAGAGGGUGAGAAUCCCGUCUUGGGCAGGGUGCCCGUGCCCAUGUGAAGCUCCUUCGACGAGUCGAGUUGUUUGGGAAUGCAGCUCUAAAUGGGUGGUAAAUUUCAUCUAAAGCUAAAUACCGGCCGGAGACCGAUAGCGCACAAGUAGAGUGAUCGAAAGAUGAAAAGCACUUUGAAAAGAGAGUUAAACAGCACGUGAAAUUGUUGAAAGGGAAGCGCUUGCGACCAGACUCGGCCCCGGGGUUCAGCCAGCACUCGUGCUGGUGUACUUCCCCGGGGGCGGGCCAGCGUCGGUUUGGGCGGCCGGUCAAAGGCCCCAGGAAUGUAUCGCCCUCCGGGGCGUCUUAUAGCCUGGGGUGCAAUGCGGCCAGCUUGGACCGAGGAACGCGCUUCGGCACGGACGCUGGCGUAAUGGUCGCAAACGACC
rnacentral:rRNA from 1 species